AUAUUACUUCAUCCUAUUAUAUAAAAUUAAUAAAAACACUUAAAAUCUAGUAUCUUCCAUUUAAAGCUAAACAAGUAUUGUAAAAGAACAACAUAUUAAUUUUAAGUAAUGACUAAAACAUGUACCUUGUGCAUUAUGGUUUUACAAGACAAAUAUUAAAUAUAAAAUCCCGAAUUCUACGAGAGCUGCUUAUAUAUAGCUAAGAACCCACUACUAGUUAUGGCAUCAACUUUAGAAGAUAUAUUAGCAGAGGCUACAUACCAAACGCGCUAGAAAAUUGCUGGUUCUCAGCAAAUUUUAUUAAUUAAAACAUGCACUAAUUAUGUGCAAUGUCAAAUUACAGAGGAUAAGCCCUGUAAUAUGUGCUAAUAUUCAUUAUAUUAAUAAUCUAUAGGCUUAAAACCAGCCACCUAUAAUACCUUACCGUAAACACUUAAGACAAAAUAUAUACACCUAGUUGCUCAAUAAAGCUGAGACUUAAGAUUAACAUUAAAUCUUAAUAUAUUAUGUAAAAACAAGUAUUAAAAUCUAAUUUAAAAUAUAUAUCAAAUAUUAUUAAAAUAAAUACUUAUAAAGGAACUCGG
rnacentral:rRNA from 1 species